rnacentral:lncRNA from 1 species
AGCAAAGCAGAAAGCCCUGUUCCUGGCUGGAUGCCUGGGACCUGCCUCCUGGGGACAGAGGAGCCCCUCUGAGGCCAGCUGGCGUCCUGACGCCAUGGCUGCCACGUGGCUCCCGGAGCCCUGCCUGUUCCCUGUCCAUCCAGGCCAGCAGCUGAAGGAGCCUCACCUGCCUCCCUUCUCUGAGUAGCACGGAUUUGAGGAGAAGCAGCGAAGAUGUCCAGCGAGCCUCCCCCUCCUUAUCCUGGGGGCCCCACAGCCCCACUUCUGGAAGAGAAAAGUGGAGCCCCGCCCACCCCAGG